GAGGAGCGACUGGAAGACUGACUCGGAGGAGGACUGGAAGACAGACACCCAGACUUCUUUUUAGACUGUCACCAUUGGUUUUGCCCACUAGGGAAUAAGGAACGAUAAGGGACCCUGUGGAAAAAGGAGGACUUCAGAGUAAUGCGGGGGAAGACCUUCGGGUAAGGCCUACUUUGGAAGAACACCUGGCCUGUGACCUGGCGCACCUAGGUGACCUCUACCUUCUUCCCAUCAUCCCGGCAAGAGAGAUGGAGAUUUGAUGAUUUACUUAAAGCAUAUGCAAGAGAGAGAGGUAGAUAUUCUGAUCUGGAGAGAGGUAUAUUGGAUACUUAGAGAGCCAGAUACGUAUUUCACAAAAUUUUGUAAAUAUUCUAUACCUUCUGAACAAAUUGAAGUUAGAAUCCCGUGGGUAACUUGUGUUUUGAAAGUAAAAAGUUUUUCCAGUCCAAGAUGGAACUAAAUAGUUAAGAUGCAAUUGAAUUUGCUAGAGAGACUUAAAAAAUAUUUUAAAAGGGCUAACGGAUGUACUAUAGAGUCUUAGAAAUAAUUUAAAAGGGCUGAUUUACUAAAGACAAUCCAAAGAACUAAUGACUUAAGUUUAAUAAGAAUUUCUAUGUACCUUCUAACAGCCUAAGGUUGGUGGAAUCAGCUUCAGAUAAACUUAAAUAAUAAUACUAUUUCUAAUUCUACCAUGCUAGUGGAGGAACUUUUCUCAAAAUUAAUUAAUUGAUAUACAAUAUACUUUUUAAAAAGUAGCCAUUAGAGGAAACAGAGCCCAUAGAUAAAGCUCCUCGGAGUUGAUAUACAUUAGAGUAUACAAAAUAUACCAAUACUUUUUAAUGUGGCUAACAAUAAAAGAGAGCUUGCCAAACUUUUGCCAACCAGACAAUAUAAAGAUGGGACUUGCCGGGAAAAGAGAGCCAAAAGAGAACAGACUGAGUCAGCAAUAUAACAAGUCAAAACGAAAAAUAAAAUAAACCCUGUGAUUUUAGGUGUCUCAAUAUGCAUCGAUGUAUAACUUGUGAAAAUUUAAAUAUGGUGGAUGGCUACUAGUCAGCUACACCUUCUUGCCGAUAAUUUACACUGUUAUUAUUCCUAAGAGCACUUAAAAUGAUAAGUUACUUUGUCUUGAAUCCCACUGAUAAAAAAGGAAUUUGUAAACGAGGGCAGAAGUUUUCUUUGGUAAGUUUCCAGCAGUCCUGGAAGAGAAUGGGGUGGGGGGAGGUAGGAGGAGGAGGAAAGUCCUCAAGUUGAAUGAAAUCCCCAUGGAGAAAAUAAUACAGAAAGUCUGGACUGCAAUACGAUACUUGGUGAACUUUAAAGUCUGGUCCCUGGUAACAAAACUACUAUGAUCUCCAAAAAGUUAAAAUAAUAAUAAUAACUUUUAUUUAAACUCUGUCAAUAUAUUUUUUAAAUCUGUUAACUUUUAUGUGAAAAAUAAUGUAAUUUCUGAAUUCUCACACUUAAAUCCUUUAAAGUUAUCUCUGCAGAAUUUCUAAUUUUAAAAUGUGACUUUGUGAUGUAAAAAACAAAAAUUUCUUCUCCUGACCUGAGUGAUUGGGAUUCUCCAAUUUGUUUUUACAAAUUGUACAUACAAUAGAACAACUAUCUCCAAAAGUAAGUUAUCUGUACUGCUUAAAGAAAAUAUGAUUUUUUUAACUUAACCAGGAUUUUGGGGAAAAGGAGAAUUUAGUUCCCAUCUUCAUUUAGAUGACACAAUAGUGACACAUUUUUUUAUCUAUAAACCGUAACUUCUUUAUUAAAUCAUUACUAAUAUUGGGAAUGAGAUUUUAAUGCACACAUAAUUUAUCUUGUAUAGGAAAGUUCAAAAUCUAUUAGUAUUUAAAAAUCAAAAUUUCUAAAAAACCUUUCAUUUUCAUUGGUGUAACUACUACAGGUGAUUAAUAGUUACAUAGAAUUUCGGUAAUAUUAAGAGUUUUUUGAGUUUUCUGUUUUCUAACAUAUGGAAAUAGUUUCCACUAGCAUUCAGUUUUCAUUAUAUUGGCAAAUGGAUGUGUCACAUGAGAAAUCUUAAUUCUUUUUGGGGGGGAGCCCAGUUUUUUAAAAAUGUGGUCAUUGUUAAAAAAACAGUAUAACCUCUUGUAACUUUAAGACCACUAUCAAAAUUUACAAAAAUAAGUUUCCUUUAAACAUUUAUUUCAUCUUCCAAUAAUAUAUUUAAAGUGCAAAUUUUUACAUUGAUAAAAAUUAUAACAGAAUGAAGAUUACCAUUAUUUAAAUGUUAAUCUUUAGUGAAAUCCAUUAUAAAAUAAAGUCUCACCAAUAUCUUUUAAAUAGGAAGGUAGAUGGAGUAUCAUAUGGAAAUGGUGAAGGCUCAUUAGUUGCAUCAAUCUUAAUUUUAAAUGACCUUUUUUUUUUAUAAAAGAAGUUUACUCCCACUGACUCCUCACCAUUCCCCCCCCUUUUCCGAUAACUUUUAGUCUUGAGACUGAUGGCGGAAGGUCUGUUGUUGGUAUCAGUUUAGGAAGUAGAAAAGGAGAUUAUAGUAUAGAAGGAUAAUUCUAAGGAUAAUUCUAGAAAAAGAAAGAAUAUUUUGUAAAGUAGUUGAAAUUCUUAUGUCCACACAAUGAAGAGACUUGUGCUAUAUAAAAAUCUACUUUAGUAAUGGAAUUUUAAUGAUUGGAAAAGAAUUAAGAUGAAUGUAAAUUUUUAUGUUUUAUAUGAUCUUACAAAAUGUAAAAAUAUAUAUUUACAAAAGCUACUGAAUACAAGGUAUUAUAUUAUGUAUAUUGUACAUAUACCUACAACAAAAUAUAGGCUUAAACACAGAUCUUUUUAAAGAUAAAGAUCUUACCUCAAAUGUUAAAUUAGAUUUUGAAUUUAUUUUAAAAGUAUAUUGCAAUAUUUUAGUGAUCAAUGACUAUUACAAUGGGAGCCAACCAACAGUACCAGCACUUAAAACUCCUGGAUUUUAUGGUAAGUAUAAGCUAAGAAAAUCAAGUAUUUUUGACUGAAUAUAGACAGUAUAGUUUUCAGGCAAAGUCUUUAUUACCAAUCAGCUUAUACUUCCGGGGAAUAUGUAUUAUUUUGUAUUGCAGCAAAUAUAUUGAAUUCUAUCAAUAAUUUGGUAAAUUACAGUAAGUAGAAGCUCAGAAGGAAGUUUAUUUUCUCCCAAAUCAAAGAGAAAUCAUAGCCUUAGAGACCUUAAAAGUCAUCCAUUUAUACAUCCAUUCCUUCAAUAACAUACUUAAUUAGGAAAAGGAUAACCUUUUAAGUCUGUAAAGUAGCUCUACUAUAUAUCUCCAAAAAAGGAAGCAUUCAUAUAAUAAUUUUUUAAAAAACACUCAUUAAUAUUUUUCCUGCAUUUAGUCUUUGUCUUUAAUAUUCUUCAACCUUGGUAUUCAGGAUAAUAGCCCUAGAUAAUGUGUUUAUAUUGAUAAAGGACUAAAAUAUACUACCAACCCCACUUCUAUCCUAUAGACCACCCAAGUACAUAUUUCACUUUGUGGAAAAUAUUUUAGUCAGAAAAUCUCAAAUAUUUCUUAUUUUAUAUUUUUAUAUUUUGGCAUAAACCAUUAAUAAAUUUGAAAAAAAUAGAAGCCUUCUAAUUCAUCUUCAAAAUAAUCUACUUUCCUUUUCCACUUUAAAAGGAACAACUUUACCUCAUAUUAUUGUUCAAAGAAUUUGAAGAAAGCACAUAUCAGCCAAAAAUUUCAAUUUAAAAUAAACAAAAGGUCAGAUUUUAAUUUCAGGGAGCAGGAAAUUCCCGAGUCAAGGCUAAACCUCUCAAUUUACUUCAUUGUGCUUUAGUGUAUUGGAUGUACUAGAAAUGCACAUAUUAACUUUUUCCUCUAAAACUCCUGAUGACAUUUAUCAGUUUUGAUGCAUGUGGUCAAAAAAGAAAGUAGUUAGGGACAACUUAUUCCUCACUCUAUUCCAUAGCUUCAAUAGAGAAAGCCAAUUCCUUAGUAUUUAACUUCAAAUAAUUUAUUUUUGUGUGUGAAUUAAGAGGAAAUUUUUUCUCAGUUCAUUAUUAUUAUCAGAAAUAAAAGAAGGCAAAUGUGGUUAAAAGAAAAAAUGUACCACUUCAAGAAAUAUAAUAAUCAUACAAAUAACUCUUUAUAUCUUAACUUUCCUAUUGAUCUUUUAAAAAGCUAUUUUAUUUUCACUUGACUCUUUAAAGUGAUGACUCAAGAUUCAUCCUGUAGUUUGAGUCAGAGAGAAAACAUUCCAAAUUAUUUUGUACUCAAAGAGUUUAUAUAGAAUGCAACUUCAUAUCAUGUGAAUGUGUAAAUAUGUUUAUAUAUUAUAUAUACAUAUAUAAUUUGUAAUCUAUAUUUUAUAUAUGUAUAAUAGCUGGGAAUAAAAUCCAAUGAGAGGUACAUAUUGAGAGAAAAACUUGUUAUGAAACCACAGUUGUAUUUCUUCAUUAAAGCUUUAUAUUUUUAUCCCUAAAAACAAACUUCAGUCACUAGUCCACAUCACACACUGAUGAUGGUCUUAAGAAAGCCCCAUUUAAUCCUUUCAUGCUCAAGUCUUUUGGCUUUAUGGAGAACUUUCAAUACUCAAAGGUUCUAAUUUUCAUUUUCAGGUUAUAUCAUUCCCUUAAUUUAUUAUAGUUAACAGGAUCAAAUGAUAAAUUAAAACAGGCUAGUUUUAAUAUUCCUCACAAACAUAAUUAUAAACCUACUUUAUUCUAUGACUUUUUACUGUUUCAUAUUAACAGUACAAGCAAAUGACUUCUUGAGGCACUUGCUUCUGACUCCCUUUGCUUUUGUGGGCAUUUAAAUGUUCUCUUAGAAAACCUCCCAAAUAGUCAAGUCACCUUAGGAAAUAAGACUGGCUUUCAUAAUAAAUCCUACUAGCUGGGAUUUUUUUUUUCUUAUUAGUUUGGAGUUGUAUUUUCUAAAGGGAAAUGUGGGGUAUAGAUGGAGGAAUGAAGAAGUCAUGACCACCUGUUAACAAAAAUUACUAAUUUGAAAUCAUGACAGGAAGAAAUUAUGAGAUUUGGUUUUCUGGCGUGUUAUUGAGCAUAUACCUGUUAAUAAAAGCGAACUCUAAUUCUUGUACUAAGCUUCAGGAAAGGUGCUUUGUUUUAACUUUCUUAAAAGAAAUGUUAAAUUUUGGGUUCUUUUGAGAUUUUAGUGGCCCCCUUUUAUAGCUGAGGAUUCCCCUAACAAUGUCCAAGACAAAUUCUAGGAACCCUCUGCAUCAAUAUGUUCUGGCUUAUAAUUUCUCAUUGGGGACACACCCUGUAGUUCAUUGAGAGAUGCAUACAUUAAGUUCCUAACUGCUAUUCAACUACAUUUACUACAUAAACAGUUAGAAAUUUUGCAUUUUAGGGAAAAAUGAAAAUUAUUUGCUGUUGCUUUCAAAAAUAUUGGUAAACUAUGUUCCUUUGACAAUUCCUAGAGCAAACUGAUCACAUACAAAAGUGGGAUGGUGCGUUGACAAAUAUAUUAAUAUUAGUGACCUUUUUGUUGGAGAAGUCUAUUUUUCAACUAACUGACAAAGGUUUUUUUUUUUCCCAUAGACAAGAUUAUAGGACUUAUCUCUUCCUAAAAACUAAGUGUAAACAUAGCUUUUAUCUUUAAUUUUAGUAUUAAAAUAUGCAGUGUUUACAAGAAGAGGAAAAACAUCUGGUUCAAUUACACUGCACUUUGAGCAUAUGUGAGCAAGCUGUAGCAUGAAAUGGACUUAAAAAUAAACCUUCUGUUUAGUGUGUUUUUUUCCUCCUUAAGUUUUCAACAAGAGGAUUCUGUUAUCCUCAACAUUCAUGUUAGUAUAUUUGGAUCAAAUGUAUAAAUGUGAAUUUUUGAAUAAAACCAAAAGUCUCACUUGUUCAAUAGUUCCAUAAUAUUUUAAAGUUUAAUUUUGUUGUGUGUUUUCCUCCCCUCUCGUCUCCUUCUUAAAAAAAAUCCCCAAAUCUGGACUGGUACAGAUUGAUUGUAUCUGCCCAUGAGCAAAGGAACCCUGAUGGAACCAAGGGGCUGGCUGGACGGAGUUGUCAUGUGUCUGCCUGUCUACACUUGCUGUGCAGAACAUCCUCUCACCUGUACAGCAGGCACAGACAGGCAGUCACAUGACAACCCAGCCUGAAUGACAACCAGCCAAUGAAAGCAGCUCUCUCAAACUAUAGCAUCUACACCAAGAGCUCCAACCAAAAAGAGGGAGCAAAAGUGUGGGGAGGGGAGGGAGGGAUUGGGGUUUCAAUCUGUUGGUUCAAUACUUAAGUCAUGUGUGUAUUACUAUUAUCAUUACUAUUAUUUCAUUAUUAUUUAAUCUGGUUAGACUAUUGAAACCCACCCAAAGCAAAAUGAGUGGUGCCUACAAAAUAUAAUAAAACCCAUUUCUGAAAUUUUUCCUGUGCUUUCUAUAGUACUCUUUUCCUAAUUGUUAUGAUUAAUUCACUAACCAUGAGUUUUUAUUUGUACACAGUUUUGCAGCACCACUGUAAUCAAGACAACAAAACAUGCUUCAAUCCAAUGCUUGAAAAAUGAAUGAUUCCUUCAAUUUUACCCAAUAAUUCCAUAAAUUAACUUCUUUUCUCAUGCAAUCAUUUUUAUUCUCCAGAAAUACUUCAAAAUAAAGUGGAAGAAGAGUCCAAAGUGUAGGAAAUUGGGAUUAAUGCAUUAUCACCAAGAUUAAGAUAAUUCUAGAAAAAAGAAUAUGAUUAUAAUUUCCAGAAUAUCUAAAAUUAUUAUUCCUUUCCAUUUUGUUCCAAUAUAAUGAAAGCUUGAAAAUAAAAUGUUAUGCUCUUUUGUCUUAUGA